ACGACCAAAUGAUAGGCUGUUAAUAAGGACGACAGCUUCUAUCGAGUAUAGGUCGCUGUAGGCCAUAUGGGUUGGUUGUCCUCUUAACCAAGGAGUGUGGAGACACUAGUAUGGCAUACAGAUGAGAUGUAAGGGUACAUCAUCAUGGAACGUGACCAACUUCAGAGUAUUCUGCUGUCGAGAAUGUCUCUGAUGGGAUAUAGGUAUAAGUAUCCCUUAGACUUGAGAUCGUCUCAGUGACUUGCAAGCAACUCACUGUGCUUUGGUACUGGACUAACUGAAUUUCUAAUUCAGUGAUGGAAGGCUUUUGGGCACAGUCAAGUACUUACAAAGUCAGAGUGUGAUCGAGAUGGGAUUGAUCACUCCAAGAGUUGGAGAAGAAUGAGUUGUUGUAUUUCAAUUUAGCAAAACCUUGGUCAGGAUAAUCCAUCAGAUGGAUUUGAUAUU
rnacentral:lncRNA from 1 species